rnacentral:rRNA from 1 species
UACGAAGGGGGCUAGCGUUGCUCGGAAUCACUGGGCGUAAAGGGUGCGUAGGCGGGUCUUUAAGUCAGGGUGAAUACUCGUGAGCUCAACUCCAGAACUGCCUUUGAUACUGAGAGUCUUGAGUUCGGGAGAGGUGAGUGGAACUGCGAGUGUAGAGGUGAAAUUCGUAGAUAUUCGCAAGAACACCAGUGGCGAAGGCGGCUCACUGGCCCGUAUACUGACGCUGAGGAGACGA